rnacentral:rRNA from 1 species
UGUACCUACGGGAGGCAGCAGUGAGGAAUAUUGGUCAAUGGGCGGAAGCCUGAACCAGCCAAGUCGCGUGAGGGAAUAAGGCCCUACGGGUCGUAAACCUCUUUUGCCGGGGAGCAAGGGCGGGGACGUGUCCCGGCCCGGAGAGUACCCGGAGAAAAAGCAUCGGCUAACUCCGUGCCAGCAGCCGCGGUAAUACGUAUGGGGCAAGUGUUAUCCGGAUUUACUGGGUGUAAAGGGAGCGUAGACGGAAAGGCAAGUCAGAAGUGAAAGCCCAAGGCUCAACCAUGGGACUGCUUUUGAAACUG